rnacentral:rRNA from 1 species
GAACGAACGCUGGCGGCAUGCCUAAUACAUGCAAGUCGAACGAACUCUUCGGAGUUAGUGGCGCACGGGUGCGUAACGCGUGGGAAUCUGCCCCUUGGUUCGGAAUAACAGUUGGAAACGACUGCUAAUACCGGAUGAUGACGAAAGUCCAAAGAUUUAUCGCCAAGGGAUGAGCCCGCGUAGGAUUAGCUAGUUGGUGAGGUAAAGGCUCACCAAGGCAACGAUCCUUAGCUGGUCUGAGAGGAUGAUCAGCCACACGUGGGACUGAGACACGGCCCAGACUCCGUACGGG